AUCACCAUUUUCUCACUGCAGCCAGAAGUUCAGGAAGGAACAAAGGCAACGUGGAAUGAAGGAGGGGGAGUGGUCUGCAACAUAGAAGGGAAACAAGGAGAAGGUGUCGGAGAGACCAAGAGGCAAGCCGGCUGAAGACCGCCUGCCAUCGGCAUAUCGCACUGCAGAGGAAUAGGAGUGGUGUGAGGCCAAGCCAGCCCAGACUGCCCGGCCUAGCCCCCAGCGACACAGCCGCGUACCAGCCUGUGGGCAGCCCUCCAGGCUGCCUUUGUUUUCAGCAUGAUUCUUGCACGCUCAUCUUUACACGAUACACUAAUGAGGUUGGAAUGGGUAUUUGGCAGAAAGCAGUGGCAUCUGUCAUCUCUGCUUCACCAAGCCUCCAGCUCAGAGCCCAGCCCCUGGUCAUGCAUUUCCUCCCAUUGGCUGGCUGGGUUAUUGAUGGGUUUGGGUUAUUGACGGAUCUAUGCUACAGCACUGGGUGGGUUAAGCUUGGUGGAUCUCCAGGCUCUGCUUUUGAGUCAAUUUCCGCAAGCCAAACUAAGUUCCUUAGUAGUACAAAACAGAUUUUAACAUUCACAGGAGAAAAAGAAAAUCCCUAACAGUCAUCCACCAAAACCACACGGUGCAAAGGGCAAAGGUAGAUAGAUAUUGUGGUUCAAAUAUCUUAACUUGAGUUAGAAAGUCAUCCUUGACCCGGCCAUUGCCAACUUUUCCUGCCUCAGCUUUGCUCACUUUCGUUCCCAGUUGGGCCCAGGUGUUUUGUGUGUGUCUGUGUUUUUUUUCCCCUCAGAUGUAUUGAACUCUUUCUGUUCUUGUUCACACUUUCGGGCUUCUAUUUGGUCUUUCAGUAUUUCUGGAAGGCUUCCUCCUUCUCUUCAUUUAGUUAACUGCUGUUUAUCCUCUGGAUUCUAAAUGCCACAUCCUAUUUAAAUCCGUCUCUUCCAUGCUUACACAAUACCCAGACAUCUUUACCACAACAUCUCACUGUGUUGUGAUUACUUAUUUAACACAGUCUCGCCCAUUCUGAGAGCUGUGAGGCUGGGGUCAGUAUCCACCUUGCUGCCAUUGUAUUCCCGGUGCCCACCACUGUGCCUGGCAAACUGUGGGUAUGCAGGGCACUUUGCCUGGAUGGUGGGUUGAAUGAGAGAAUGCAGAAUUGCUGCAUCUUUGUUUCACAGCUGUAUAGGGAGCCACAUGGUGGAAAGUGUUAUUCCAUGGAAUCCUUUAAAUUCUUCUGCUUUCCUUCCUUUCUGUCUGCUUAAAGUUCCCACCUUUCGUGACAUCACAAACAGCUGCUCAGGUGUUUUUCCAUCUGUGUAGCAGAAUCAUGCUCAGACUUGUUCUUGCUGAUGGACUGGUUAUCUGCCAACCUUGUCACGGAUGAGGGAUGAGGAUUGGGGCAGAUGGCACUGUCUAUUCAGAUGUGACUAACUGUAGAGAUAUGAAAUAACUUUAGGAUCAUUGUGGGAUUUGAGGCCAUGUAAUUUUGUUUUAUAGUCUCUCACCUCAAAAGUGGUAGCAAUGGAGGUAACUUUUUAAUCUUGCGUAACCUCUAUUUCUUAUUCUGAUGAGAAGUCUGUUUAAAUGUCUGUGGAUACACAGUGGAUGCACAACCCAACUGAACUGCCACCACAUGCUGGAGACAUUUGCUCCUCAUUUUUGGAAACAGUGUCAGCCACUUCCAAACAUGGAAAGAAAACAACUGUCAUCUGUUGACUUGUUCAACACAGGUCUAAUACAUCAAUUUUAAGAAAAUUGAUGCUGUUGGAGAUAAAUUUACUCGAAUUCUGUCUACUUCACUUCUAGACCAAAUAGAGCAGGACCCACAUUGACCCUCUUCUUUGCUUUCACAGAAAUAGUGGCCACGCCUCCUUCCCAAGGCGCAUCCCUCCACUUCCUCACUGGGUCCCCUCUCACCAUCACAUCCCACUCCCCACCUUGCCACUUCUGUGGGGCUCUUCAAACUCUCCCUUUCCUUUCUUUCCUUUCCUCAGCCUAUAAGAAAAAACAUCUCCAUUAUCUUAAAAAAUAAUUUUUAAAUAUUCACACUAGAUAGCAUCGUCUCUUCUUCCUCAUCUUGAUUACCUUUAUUGGGAUAGUCAGGAUUUGUGACCUCAACGCCCUCACUUCUUGCUAUGGACUGAAUGGUGUAACCCUCCCAGAUUUGCAUGUUGAAGCCCUAAAACCAAUGUGACUGCAUUUGGAGAUAAGGCUUUUAGGAGGUUAAGUGAGAUCAUAAGAGUGGGGCCCAAAGAGCAAUCUCUCUGUCUCUCUCU
ensembl:lncRNA